rnacentral:rRNA from 1 species
AGUGAACGCUGGCGGUAGGCCUAACACAUGCAAGUCGAACGGCAGCACAGUAAGAGCUUGCUCUUACGGGUGGCGAGUGGCGGACGGGUGAGGAAUACAUCGGAAUCUACUUUUUCGUGGGGGAUAACGUAGGGAAACUUACGCUAAUACCGCAUACGACCUACGGGUGAAAGCAGGGGAUCUUCGGACCUUGCGCGAUUGAAUGAGCCGAUGUCGGAUUAGCUAGUUGGCGGGGUAAAGGCCCACCAAGGCGACGAUCCGUAGCUGGUCUGAGAGGAUGAUCAGCCACACUGGAACUGAGAAACGGUCCAGACUCCUACGGGAGGCAGCAGUGGGGAAUAUUGGACAAUGGGCGCAAGCCUGAUCCAGCCAUACCGGGUGGGUGAAGAAGGCCUUCGGGUUGUAAAGCCCUUUUGUUGGGAAAGAAAAGCAGCAGGUUAAUACCCCGCUGUUCUGACGGUACCCAAAGAAUAAGCACCGGCUAACUUCGUG